GGUUGCGAUCAUACCUGCACUAAUGCACCGGAUCCCAUCAGAACUCCGCAGUUAAGCGUGCUUGGGCGAGAGUAGUACUAGGAUGGGUGACCCCCUGGGAAGUCCUCGUCUUGCAACCCC
rnacentral:rRNA from 1 species